rnacentral:rRNA from 1 species
AUUGAACGCUGGCGGCAUGCCUUACACAUGCAAGUCGAACGGCAGCACGGGUGCUUGCACCUGGUGGCGAGUGGCCAACGGGUGAGUAAUACAUCGGAACGUACCUUAUCGUGGGGGAUAACGCAGCGAAAGCUGUGCUAAUACCGCAUACGCCCUGAGGGGGAAAGCGGGGGAUCGAAAGACCUCGCGCGAUUAGAGCGGCCGAUGCCUGAUUAGCUUGUUGGUGGGGUAAAAGCCCACCAAGGCGACGAUCAGUAGCUGGUCUGAGAGGACGAUCAGCCACACUGGGACUGAGACACGGCCCAGACUCCUACGGGAGGCAGCAGUGUGGAAUUUUGGACAAUGGUGGCAACCCUGAUCCAGCAAUGCCGCGUGAGUGAAGAAGGCCUUCGGGUUGUAAAGCUCUUUUGUCAGGGAAGAAACACCGGCUCUAACACAGUCCGGGGAUGACGGUACCUGAAGAAUAAGCACCGGCUAACUACGUGCCAGCCGCCGCAGUAA